rnacentral:rRNA from 1 species
UACGUAGGGUGCAAGCGUUAAUCGGAAUUACUGGGCGUAAAGCGUGCGCAGGCGGUUCGCUAAGACAGAUGUGAAAUCCCCCGGGCUUAACCUGGGAACUGCAUUUGUGACUGGCGGGCUAGAGUAUGGCAGAGGGGGGUAGAAUUCCACGUGUAGCAGUGAAAUGCGUAGAGAUGUGGAGGAAUACCGAUGGCGAAGGCAGCCCCCUGGGUCAAGAUUGACGCUCAUGCACGAAAGCGUGGGGAGCAAACAGG